UAUUCCUUAAGUAGACAAAGAU
rnacentral:miRNA from 1 species